GAUGAACGCUGGCGGCGUGCCUAAUACAUGCAAGUCGAGCGAACAGACGAGGAGCUUGCUCCUCUGACGUUAGCGGCGGACGGGUGAGUAACACGUGGAUAACCUACCUAUAAGACUGGGAUAACUUCGGGAGACCGGAGCUAAUACCGGAUAAUAUAUUGAACCGCAUGGUUCAAUAGUGAAAGACGGUUUUGCUGUCACUUAUAGAUGGAUCCGCGCCGCAUUAGCUAGUUGGUAAGGUAACGGCUUACCAAGGCAACGAUGCGUAGCCGACCUGAGAGGGUGAGGGGCCACAGUGGAACAGAGACCGGGUCCAGCCUCCUAGGGGAGGAAGAAUGGGGGAAUAUUCCGCAAGGGGCGAAAGUGUGACGGAGCAACGCCGCGGGAGUGAGAAAGGUCUUCGGAUCGUAAAACUGUUUUAUAGGGGAAAAAAAAAUGUGUAAAAAACUAUGCGCGUCUGGACGGUACCUAAUAAAAAAGCCACGGCAAACUACGUG
rnacentral:rRNA from 1 species